UGCGCAGGCGGUUUUGUAAGACAGUGGUGAAAUCCCCGGGCUCAACCUGGGAACUGCCAUUGUGACUGCAAGGCUGGAGUGCGGCAGAGGGGGAUGGAAUUCCGCGUGUAGCAGUGAAAUGCGUAGAUAUGCGGAGGAACACCGAUGGCGAAGGCAAUCCCCUGGGCCUGUACUGACGCUCAUGCACGAAAGCGUGGGGAGCAAACA
rnacentral:rRNA from 1 species